GCGUGCGUGCGUGCGUGUAGACUGCUACAGCUGCUCAAGGAUGAAUCAAGUGCAAGUAAGAGUUUCUAUAGGCUUCUAGUCAUGGAUUUAAAUUCGUGGAUUUGCCAAAUAAUGCUUCGUUCUCGAGUUAUGCCUAGUUUUGCUUACUUGGAAUGCCAUUGCAGCCUUUUCAGAAGAACACGUAGCCAAACUUGUUUACCGAGUGUUGCUACUCUACUUAGUAGUUAGCUCUGCACUAUAGAACGCUAGCUAUUGGUAGCUGCAAGAGUGAGAAGAGAGCUGCAAGGCUCUGCUACUUGAAUGCAGCUUUAGACUUGAACUUUUGGGCAUCAAUCGUUUUUAACAACAAUCAUGGUCGAUCAUUACCAACUCAGCAAAAUUAAAUUGUUUAUCAUGUGCUAUUAGUAGCUAUUAGUAGCUUUAUGUUAUGUAGCUUUGGUAUCUCCACCGAGGCAUCAGCACCUGCGGUGCUUUCAUUGUAUCUAGAAUUUGUAGUACUAAGAACCCUUCAUCAUCUUUCUUUGUGUGUACAGAGUAUUGCUGGAUCACAGAUGCGUGUGAUUCUCAGGUGGUGGAGCAGUCAACCAAACGUACGUGUCACAAGAAACAGUCUGAUGUUGGGUUUCCACCAUGGCAAAGCCAGACACCACACUCGUUACAUCUGUCAGUCCUCUUGUUGGAGUCCUUCCAGCAGAACGCACACCAUCCCCGUUUACAUCUCUUUGCAGGUGGUUGCAGGCACAUUUUGAGAGGAAAGUGUUGGAGCUGAAGAGGGCGCUGGACUCUACUUGAGCGGCCUGGGAGUCUCCUUGAAUAGUACGUGCCAAUCAGCUCCUUGGCCAGUUGGAGGCGGAAGUCUUUUACGUUUUGAUUCGGCUUGGAGGAAUAAUAUCCGCGUAUUUGGUCCCCUCUGUUCACACCUUCCAUGUGCUUGUUGUAGAAUAUUAUGCUAUCAGGGCAACUCACAGGCAUUCUUAAACCGUCUCUCUGACGCCUGAGAACGGAUCUCGUUGCUACUGGUUGCGACGUCGUUGAGAGGACCGUGAGCACCUUGCUGUUGUGCCAUGCACAUGCCACCAGUGGUCCCUUCUGGAAUAUCUUGGAUUCUCCUCUGUCAAAGUACCUCUUCUUCAAACCAUGUUUCUUCAGCCCUGGUGGUAAACUACACCACACCCAUCCUUCUCCAUAUCUUUAAGAAGUUUGGGGCUCAUAAAAAAGUUGUCAAAGAAAACGUGGUGAUUUUUCUUCUUCAGCCCGUCGGUGCUCAAUGAGGGGGCGGAUCUUCCCUAACCGAUCGUACGAGGGAUCACCUUGUGGAACAAGAUGGUCGUUGUCCACAAAGUGCAGGUACCGGGAGAUAUCACGGAAUCUCUGCCUUGAGAUUACAUCGGUGAUGGGUGCAUAGUGCAUGGUAGUGAUUGUCUCGGCUCCAAUAGUCAUUGAUUGAUGGCAGGUGAUUGAGUCCCAUGAGGAUGGAGAAUCCAAAGAAGGCCCGGAGCUCUUCAACUGUGAGUUGAGUCCACGUUCGGUAUGCCUCCUCUCCCAUUACAUGUCUAGCGUAGUUGUUGCUCUCACACACAAUGUGUCCCUGCAGACCAUUGUUAAAAAAUAGCAGAAACACUUCUUCUGGCCUCUCUGAGAUGUCCACUGUUGGUCCUACUGCUGACUCAAAUGACUUGAUAGUCAGGGUGUGCAAUUCACUCCUCCAGGUAGGUUGCUCAUUGCCUAAAUAAAUAUGAGGGUAAUAAUAAUUAGCUGUACAUUAGUUUUGUGUGGUAGUCUAACUGAUUGUAAUUGUACUUCAUAACAUUGCACAAACCGUGUGACGAGUCGCUUGAACCACUUGUGUAGUCACUUGUGUCGUCUAGGAAGGGAUUUAUCAAUAGCUGGUACAAAUUGUUAACCUUAUAAUUAUUAAUAAAUUAUUGUUAAAAAUAAUUAACAAUAAUAGGGAAAUUCCCAGGGAAUUUCCCCUCACGCAGACAGUAAAUUUCAAAUGAGCGUUCGGUGAGUUUCUUCAACGUCCGCGCUUGACCUGUUUAAAGCUUCGUAGAGACCCAAAUUUUUACAGGUAGGUAGAGGAAGGGUUGAAGUUAGCACCUGUGAAAAAAAAUUUUUUGCCCAUGUUUUUUGUUUCUACUAAAUUGGCCUAUAGCUUAAUUUAAUUAUUGCCGCGUUAAGGUCCCUUUUCAUUGGCACUGUCACAAUUUAAUUUACCUU